GGGAGGGAAGCACUCCCUCUCUUCUUUACGCGGGCAAACCAUCAGUUAGAAAGAGCGAUCGCUAAGUUGGAUUACAGCAGAAAACCAAGAAUUCCCUCUCUCUCUCCCCACUUCAACCGGCGGCCUUUGAGAAAUCGGAAGAAGAAGAAGAAGAAGGAUGGUGGGAAGGCGGAAGAUUAGCAUGGGAUUCAUCUCCGAUCAAAGGAAGCGCCAUGUCACCUUCUCCAAUAGAAGAAAGGGCCUUUUCAAGAAGGCCCAAGAGCUCGGCUGUCUCACAGGCGCAACCAUCGGCAUUGUCUGCUUCGCUAGCGAAGCAGGGAAUGCUUUUACAUUCUCCUACCCUCCACCUGCGGACGAUCAAGAAGGAGAUGAUGGACACAGGCAACUAUUCUCCGUCAUGCAGCAAUACUGUGAGCAAGAGGUGGGACUGCGAGCACCAUCCCGCACCAUCACAGCUACUCGUUCGCAACCACUGAAGACAAGACCAUCAGUGGUGGAAUCAAAAUCGAUUUCAGAGCAGAACAGUGGCACCGGCCUCCCACAAUCAGUGGGCGGAAAUGACUUGUGGGAAUCGUUGGAAUCGCUGCAUGGUGCCGUCGUUAGUUUCUCUGAUGCGGGCAGCUACGAUUUUGGAUCAUCCUCAAAUUGCGUGGUAGAAGGUGAGCAAGAGGUGGGGCUGCAGAUGCAGAGCAAGGACAAGGCAGAGACACCUCUUCCGGACUCGUCCCUUGGCCAAUCGAUGGUGGAAGAACAGCAGUCGGUGGACUCAACCCUCUAUGGUUCUGUGAGUUGCAGCAGUUUUUUCGAUUCCUCCAGCUUGCCUCCACCGCCAUCGAUUGACGCUCUCCUUUCAUCGCCACCACCGUCAUUCGGCUGGAACGACGGUCUUGAUAGUUUGGAGAUGGACGAGUUCGAAGCUGGUUGAAGUUCAAAAGACAGAACUUGCUCUGGUGGAUGGUAAAUUUAGUUGCUUUACAGCAAGUCAGCAGGAUCCUGAGCUUACUGCGUCACAGAUGCCAUCCUAGCUUCGGGUGGAUAAUGUAGUAGCUCAAUGAAAAUGAAGAAAAACUCACUUUGAUGAUUGACUUAUAUAUAAACCUGCUAUUAAAGUGCUGGUGGACUGGUGGGUGCAAGAGGGGAGCUCAUCUUAAUUUGACGUCAUCGUCCUUGAUGGUGGCACUCCAGAGAGUACAUGCUGAUCCAGUAUCAGGGCCACAUGUAGGCAGACUUUGGGCUAUCUAUGUGACAGAAUCAUAUGCUUUGAAGCACUAGAUCCCUUUGAAAAUCAGGUUGUUUCGACCAGGUCCUUCGUCUUUGAAAGUGGCAAAACCGGAAUUGAUUCAGACAAUCCUUCAACACUUGAGAGCCACUGAAUCGACUAAAAGGAGAUGCCCUUGCAUACUUUGCAGACCAUCAAUAGAAGCAUUCCAUGCUGUGAUAACAUAGCAUACUUCAACCUUAAAAGGAUGGCAUAUGUGGUUGCCAGAAGGGAGCUUCAAAGUUGCAGUUGAUGGGUUCACUUUAUCCUCAUUCAAAUCAGUCAAACUUUUCAGAUUUGUGUCCACCUCUACAUGCGUACCCAGGCUAGCAUCUUCAAUACCAAUUUGCUUUCGUUAGGUUGAGCAGCUUCCCCUCGAUUAAGAAUAGGCCAAUCUGAGGGAUUUCAAAGUCGAAAGACACAUGAGAAGAACUGGAUAGUUCCAUUGGCUGCAGGUGCAGAGGUUGAGGGAGAAUCCAUUAAGUUUGUCAAGACCAGUUGAUAGUGAUCAAUAUUGACUAGAAAAA